rnacentral:rRNA from 1 species
UACGUAGGGGGCAAGCGUUAUCCGGAUUUACUGGGUGUAAAGGGAGCGUAGGCCGGUCUUUAAGCGUGCCGUGAAAUUUUGUGGCCCAACCAUGAGAGUGCGGCGCGAACUGGAGACCUUGAGUGCGCGGAAGGCAGGCGGAAUUCGUGGUGUAGCGGUGAAAUGCUUAGAUAUCACGAAGAACCCCGAUUGCGAAGGCAGCAUACCGGCGCCCGACUGACGCUGAGGCACGAAAGCGUGGGUAUCGAACAGG